AGAAGGGGUAGCUUAAAUGUAAAAGCAUUUGACUGUUAAUCAAAAGUUCCUAUAUCAGGCUCUUUCUA